rnacentral:rRNA from 1 species
UACGUAGGGACCGAGCGUUGUCCGGAUUCAUUGGGCGUAAAGAGCUCGUAGGCGGCUGCUCAAGUCGAAUGUGAAAACUCGAGGCUCAACCUCGAGCCUGCAUUCGAUACUGGGCGGCUAGAGUCUGGUAGGGGGAUCUGGAAUUCCUGGUGUAGCGGUGGAAUGCGCAGAUAUCAGGAGGAACACCGGUGGCGAAGGCGGGAUCCUGGGCCAGUACUGACGCUGAGGAGCGAAAGCGUGGGGAGCGAACAGG